UAGGGAAUAUUGGUCAAUGGAUGCAAGUCUGAACCAGCCAUGCCGCGUGCAGGAAGAAGGCCUUCUGGGUUGUAAACUGCUUUUGCCAGGGGAUAAAAAUUCCAUGCGUGGAAGAUUGAAGGUACCUGGUGAAUAAGCCACGGCUAACUACGUGCCAGCAGCCGCGGUAAUACGUAGGUGGCAAGCGUUGUCCGGAUUUAUGGGUUUAAAGGGUGCGUAGGCGGUUUUGUAAGUCAGUGGUGAAAUAUAGCAGCUUAACUGUUAGGGUGCCAUUGAUACUGCAGAACUUGAGUACAGAUGAGGUAGGCGGAAUUGACGGUGUAGCGGUGAAAUGCUUAGAUAUCGUCAAGAACACCUAUAGCGAAGGCAGCUUACUAGGCUGUAACUGACGCUGAGGCACGAAAGUGUGGGGAUCAAACAGGAUUAGAUACCCUGGUAGUCCACACUGUAAACGUUGAUUACUCGCUGUGUGCGAUAU
rnacentral:rRNA from 1 species